rnacentral:rRNA from 1 species
AGGUGAUGGACAACAGGUUGAUAUUCCUGUACUACCGAUAACCGUUUGAGAGAAGGGAUGACACAGUAGGAUAAGCUAAGCACACUGUUGGUUAUGUGUGCCCAAGCAUUGAGGCAGUCAAAGUAGGCAAAUCCGCUUUGAUAAUGCUGGGAUGUGAUGGGGAGCGAAAUUUAGUAGCGAAGUAGCUGAUUUCACACUGUCAAGAAAAGUCUCUAUCGAGGUUAAAGGUACCCGUACCGCAAACCGACACAGGUGGGUGAGGAGAGUAUCCUAAGGCCAGCGAGAGAACUGUUGUUAAGGAACUCGGCAAAAUGACCCCGUAACUUAGGGAUAAGGGGUGCCACCAUCAGGUGGCCGCAGAGAAUAGGCCCAAGCGACUGUUUACCAAAAACAUAGGUUUCUGCUAAGUCGCAAGACGAUGUAUAGGAGCUGACGCCUGCCCGGUGCUGGAAGGUUAAGGGGAUCUGUUAGAGCAAUCGAAGCAGUGAACUUAAGCCCCAGUAAACGGCGGCCGUAACUAUAACGGUCCUAAGGUAGCGAAAUUCCUUGUCGGGUAAGUUCCGACCCGCACGAAAGGCGUAACGAUUUGGGCACUGUCUCAACAACAGACUCGGUGAAAUUGUAAUUCCGGUGAAGAUGCCGGAUACCUGCGACAGGACGGAAAGACCCCAUGGAGCUUUACUGUAGCUUGACAUUGGGUCUUGGUACUACAUGUACAGGAUAGGUGGGAGGCUUUGAAACCAGGACGCCAGUUUUGGCGGAGCCAUCCUUGGGAUACCACCCUUGUAGUACUGGGACUCUAACCAUAGGCCAUGAAUCUGGUCUUGGGACACUGUCAGGUGGGCAGUUUGACUGGGGCGGUCGCCUCCCAAAAGG